ACUAUCUAUUGUGUGUUAAAUUAUGUAUGACCUCAAUGGCUCAGCUAAAUGCUAAUGGUUGAUUUGUAUACAUGUAUGUUUGAAAAGAUGCAUACAUUACGGACCGGGACACUUGAAUGAUUAUCUGCAAUAAUGGCUACGUUACGCUCAUCUCUAUUCGCCUUGCCCAAAAAUCUUAGGAGCCAACCAUGCCCCAGGAUAUUGUUGGUUCUACCGCCAGCUUUGAGCAGUCAAGGCAGCCGGCUGCUGCAUUCGCAGGCCCUCAGUCAAAACCUGCAUUAUAUCAGCAAUGAGAAGGACAAGCUCACUGCGGAUCCUGUCAC